GCGGGUGCUCAGACAUGCAGUCGAACGCGAAAGUCCCCUUCGGGGGAUAAGUAGAGUGGCGCACGGGUGAGUAACACGUAGGUAAUCUACCUUCGGGUGGGGAAUAACCCAGGAAACUUGGGCUAACACCGCAUAGUGCAGCGGCACCACAUGGUGACAGUUGUUAAAGCGGGGGAUCUUAGGACCUCGCGCCUGAAGAGGAGCCUGCGGCGGAUUAGCUAGUUGGUGAGGUAACGGUCACCAAGGUAACGAUCCGUAGCCGGCCUGAGAGGGCGGUCGGCACACUGACACUGACAUACGGGUCAGACUCCUACGGGAGGCAGCAGUCGGGAAUUUUGGGCAAUGGGCGAAAGCCUGACCCAGCAACGCCGCGUGAAGGAUGAAAUCCCUCGGGAUGUAACUUCGCAAGAAUGGGAAGGAAUUAGUAGGGGUCAAUACCCCCUAUGAUGACGGUACCAUUUGUAAGCUCCGGUAACUCCGUGCCAGCAGCCGCGGUAAUACGGGGGGAGCACGCGUUG
rnacentral:rRNA from 1 species